UACAUUUGCGGCGCUUUUGGUUCCAGGAAUAACGCCCAGGAUUAAAAGGGAAUACAGUGAAAAUCUGUAACUGUCCCGCAACUGUAAGCGCCAUAACGAUUUUCUAAUCUAGCCACUUUUCUGCUUCGACAGAAUGGGAAGGCUUGAAAGUCGGGCGUGAGUCAGGAGACCUGCCUUUAGCAAUAUGAUUUC
rnacentral:ncRNA from 2 species